UGAGGAAUAUUGGUCAAUGGCGUUAGCCUGAACCAGCCAAGUAGCGUGAAGGAUGAAGGCUCUAUGGGUCGUAAACUUCUUUUAUAUAAGAAUAAAGUGCAGUAUGUAUACUGUUUUGUAUGUAUUAUAUGAAUAAGGAUCGGCUAACUCCGUGCCAGCAGCCGCGGUAAUACGGAGGAUCCGAGCGUUAUCCGGAUUUAUUGGGUUUAAAGGGAGCGUAGGUGGACUGGUAAGUCAGUUGUGAAAGUUUGCGGCUCAACCGUAAAAUUGCAGUUGAUACUGUCAGUCUUGAGUACAGUAGAGGUGGGCGGAAUUCGUGGUGUAGCGGUGAAAUGCUUAGAUAUCACGCAGAACUCCGAUUGCGAAGGCAGCAUACCGGCGCUCAACUGACGCUGAGGCACGAAAGCGUGGGGGAGUCGAACAGGAUUUAGAUACC
rnacentral:rRNA from 1 species